rnacentral:piRNA from 1 species
UGCUUGUCUGAGGGUCUUAGGUGU